rnacentral:rRNA from 1 species
AUUGAACGCUGGCGGCAGGCCUAACACAUGCAAGUCGAGCGGAUGAAGGGAGCUUGCUCCUGGAUUCAGCGGCGGACGGGUGAGUAAUGCCUAGGAAUCUGCCUGGUAGUGGGGGAUAACGUCCGGAAACGGGCGCUAAUACCGCAUACGUCCUGAGGGAGAAAGCGGGGGAUCUUCGGACCUCACGCUAUCAGAUGAGCCUAGGUCGGAUUAGCUAGUUGGUGGGGUAAAGGCCUACCAAGGCGACGAUCCGUAACUGGUCUGAGAGGAUGAUCAGUCACACUGGAACUGAGACACGGUCCAGACUCCUACGGGAGGCAGCAGUGGGGAAUAUUGGACAAUGGGCGAAAGCCUGAUCCAGCCAUGCCGCGUGUGUGAAGAAGGUCUUCGGAUUGUAAAGCACUUUAAGUUGGGAGGAAGGGCAGUAAGUUAAUACCUUGCUGUUUUGACGCUACCAACAGAAUAAGCACCGGCUAACUUCGUG